GAAAUGCGAUAAGUAAUGUGAAUUGCAGAAUUCAGUGAAUCAUCGAAUCUUUGAACGCACAUUGCGCCCCCUGGUAUUCCGGGGGGCAUGCCUGUUCGAGCGUCAUUACAACCCUCAAGCUCUGCUUGGUAUUGGGCUUCGUCGGUCUCCGGCGUGCCUCAAAGCCAUCGGCGGUGGUGCCCUUCUCUAAGCGUGGUAAAUUUUAUUCGCUUGUGGGCUGGAGCUUCACCCGCCGGACAAUUCGGGGCCUCGCGUCCAAUUUCUUAGGUUGACCUCGGAUCAGGUAGGGAUACCCGCUGAACUUAA
rnacentral:misc_RNA from 1 species